CAAGUACUCCCUCCGUCCGGAAAUACUUGUCGAAGAAAUGCAUAAAAAUGGAUGUAUCUAGAACUAAAAUAUGUCUAGAUACAUCCAUUCUUCCGACAAGUAUUUCUGGACGGAGGGAGUACAUA
rnacentral:pre_miRNA from 1 species